CCCCAGACUCCUACGGGAGGCAGCAGUGGGGGAUAUUGCACAAUGGGGGGAACCCUGAUGCAGCGACGCCGCGUGAGUGAAGAAGUAAUUCGUUAUGUAAAGCUCUAUCAGCAGGGAAGAAUAAAUGACGGUACCUGAGUAAGAAGCCCCGGCUAACUACGUGCCAGCAGCCGCGGUAAUACGUAGGGGGCAAGCGUUAUCCGGAUUUACUGGGUGUAAAGGGAGCGUAGGCGGCCUGCCAAGUCUGAUGUGAAAUACCGGGGCUCAACCCCGGGGCUGCAUUGGAAACUGGCAGGCUGGAGUGCCGGAGAGGCAGGCGGAAUUCUUAGUGUAGCGGUGAAAUGCGUAGAUAUUAGGAGGAACACCAGUGGCGAAGGCGGCCUGCUGGACGGUGACUGACGCUGAGGCUCGAAAGCGUGGGGAGCAAACAGGAUUAGAUACCCUUGUA
rnacentral:rRNA from 1 species